rnacentral:rRNA from 1 species
GAUGAGCGCUGGCGGCGUGCCUAAUACAUGCAAGUCGAGCGAACAGAUAAGGAGCUUGCUCCUUUGACGUUAGCGGCGGACGGGUGAGUAAAACGUGGAUAACCUACCUAUAAGACUGGGAUAACUUCGGGAAACCGGAGCUAAUACCGGAUAACAUAUUGAACCGCAUGGUUCAAUAGUGAAAGGCGGCUUUGCUGUCACUUAUAGAUGGAUCCGCGCCGUAUUAGCUAGUUGGUAAGGUAACGGCUUACCAAGGCAACGAUACGUAGCCGACCUGAGAGGGUGAUCGGCCACACUGGAACUGAGACACGGUCCAGACUCCUACGGGAGGCAGCAGUAGGGAAUCUUCCGCAAUGGGCGAAAGCCUGACGGAGCAACGCCGCGUGAGUGAUGAAGGUCUUCGGAUCGUAAAACUCUGUUAUCAGGGAAGAACAAAUGUGUAAGUAACUGUGCACAUCUUGACGGUACCUGAUCAGAAAGCCACGGCUAACUACGUG